UACAUGGGGUGCAAACGUUGCUCGGAAUUAUUGGGCGUAAAGCGCGCGUAGGCGGUUACUUAUGUCGGAUGUGAAAGCCCUCGGCUUAACUGAGGAAGUGCAUUCGAAACUGGGUAGCUAGAGUACUAAAGAGGGUCGCGGAAUUCCCGGUGUAGAGGUGAAAUUCGUAGAUAUCGGGAGGAACACCGGUGGCGAAGGCGGCUAUCUGGACAGAAACUGACGCUGAGGCGCGAAAGCUAGGGGAGCAAACAGGG
rnacentral:rRNA from 1 species